rnacentral:rRNA from 1 species
GAUGAACGCUAGCGGCAGGCCUAAUACAUGCAAGUCGAGCGGUAACAGGUGUAGCAAUACAUGCUGACGAGCGGCGCACGGGUGCGUAACACGUAUGCAACCUACCUUUAACUGGAGGAUAGCCGCCCGAAAGGGUGAUUAAUACUCCAUAGUAUUACGAGAUGGCAUCAUUUUGUGAUUAAAGCUCCGGCGGUUAAAGAUGGACAUGCGUCUGAUUAGCUAGUUGGCUAGGUAAAGGCUCACAAAGGCUACGGUCAGUAGGGGUUCUGAUAGGAUAUACCCCCACACUGGUAAUGAGACACGGACCAGACUCCGACGUGAGGCAGCAGUAAGGAAUAUUGGACAAUGGAGGCAACUCUGAUCCAGCCAUGCCGCGUGAAGGAUGAAGGUCCUAUGGAUUGUAAACUUCUUUUGAACGGGAGAAAACUCCAGAUCGUGCAUCUGGACUGAUAGUACCGUUAGAAUAAGGGUCGGCUAACUUCGUUCCAGCAGCCGCCGUAACAC